UCAGAAGUGUCUGCUUAGAUGAUCCAGUU
rnacentral:piRNA from 1 species